rnacentral:rRNA from 1 species
CCAUGAAUUUUAGUAAGUUAAUAACUCCUAUUAAUUUAUUUAUAUGGUGGCACAAAAUCGGAAGCCCCGACUGUUUACUAAAAACACAACUAUCUGCAAUUAUGAAAAUAAUAGUAUAGGUAGUGAGAUUUGCCCAAUGCCAUAUUAAUAAGUAAUAAUAAUGGGUAACUGUUUCUUUACAAAAAAUUGGUUAAUAGCGGUCUUAACUAUGAGGAUCCUAAGGUAGCAAAAUAAAUUGGCCAUUAAAUGUGGUCCAGUAUCAAUAAUUUAACGAUGGCUUCACUGUCUCUACAACUUGCUCAGUGAAAUUGAAUUACCCGUGCAGAUGCGGGUUACCUCAAAGAGGACGGGAAGACCCUAUGCAGCUUCUA